UCCUUUUUCCUCUUCCCAGGACCGUAUCUAGAGGCAUUCAGAAUGGUCCAGCGUUUGACAUACUGUCAUAGGCUGUUCUACAAUACAUCCUCUAACAAAACUAGGCUGUCCCAAACCCCUGGUAAUAGAAUUGUUUACCUUUAUACCAAGAAAGUUGGGAAAGCACCAAAAUCUGCAUGUGGCGUGUACCCAUGCCGACUUCGAGGUGUUCGCUCUGUGAGACCUGAAGUCCUUAUGAGACUGUCUAAAACAAAAAAACAUGUCAGCCGGGCUUAUUGUGGUUCCAUGUGUGUUAAAUGUGUCCGUGACAGGAUCAGGCGUGCUUUCCUUAUUAAGGAGCAGAAAAUCGUUGUGAAAGUAUUGAAAGCACAAGCACAGAGUCAAAAAGCUAAAUUUAAAAAAUGAAGCUUUUUUGAGUAAAAAAAAAAAA